AACGAACGCUGGCGGCGUGCCUAACACAUGCAAGUCGUACGAGAAAAGGGGCUUCGGCCCCCAAGUACAGUGGCAGACGGGUGAGUAACACGUGGGUAACCUGCCCUCGAGUGGGGAAUAACUCAGGGAAACUUGGGCUAAUACCGCAUGACAUCGCCUUCUCUCUGGAGAGGGUGAUUAAAGGUGGGGAUCGCGAGACCUACCGCUUGAGGAGGGGCCUGCGCCUGAUUAGCAUGUUGGUGGGGUAACGGCCUACCAAGGCUGCGAUCAGUAGCCGGCCUGAGAGGGCGAUCGGCCACACUGGAACUGAGACACGGUCCAGACUCCUACGGGAGGCAGCAGUGAGGAAUCUUGCGCAAUGGGCGAAAGCCUGACGCAGCAACGCCGCGUGGGUGAUGAAGGCCUUCGGGUCGUAAAACCCUGUCAGGUGGGAAGAAAUGGUGGCGGGCCAAUACCCCGUCAUCUUGACUGUACCACCAGAGGAAGCCCCGGCUAACUCCGUG
rnacentral:rRNA from 1 species